rnacentral:misc_RNA from 1 species
AUUCAAAUAUCUCUCCUCCAUUUUCAUGAGCAUAAAUUCUGCACAAAGUUAACAAAAAGGACUUAAUAAUAUUGGUGCAUGCAGUCGCAGUAGCUGUACACAAUUUGUCAAGAGGCAUAAGAUAUUAUGGACAAGAAGCCCUAACUGGUUUAGAAAUUAACUACGUUCAUCGCACUAGUAUUUGGAAGCAUCUUACAAGACUUGAUUUUCAAUAUUAACGUUUCUACAAGACUAAACUGUAAAAGGCCUUCCCUCAUCACUUUGGCAAGUAGGAAUGCAGGAGCAGCAGAGCCAGCCCCAUCUUAAGUUACACAAGUUGAAGAGCAGUGUGGUCUGGGCGAGAGUAGUGGUGAUUGGGUUCCAGGAGGUUCACAGGGAUAAAGUUCCGAUCGUAUGCCUGCGAAGGCACAGAUUCGUAGACAGAACCUGAAGGCAUUAGGUUUGUUUGCUGCUGCUGUGCUCUCUCAUUUUCAGCUAUCUUUGCUCUCAGGUACAUGUUGUCAUUUUGCAGCUCAAUCUCCCUUUUCUGCAUGUACUCAACUUCAGCAUAUAGCAUUUCAUUCUUUUUGGACCUAACUCUGCUGAUUCCUUUCUCCAAUCUGCCUUCCAAGCUCUUAAGUUCCUUAAAGGUCAAGGUGCUAAGUGCCUCACCCAGAAUAUGCCUAUUUAAAUUUUGAAUUUCCCGAAUUUGCCUGCGUAGUUUGGAGGAUUCUUGUUGGUAGAACUGAGUGUUAGCCUCAGAAGCAGAUGCUGGAUUUGAGGAGUCUGCACUGGCUUUCUUGUACCUAUCAAUUGUUGCUCUGACACUGUUAUUAGCAUACUCGUAGAGACGGCCUCGACUAGAAAAGACAAUGAGAGCAACUUCAGCAUCACAGAGGACAGAUAAUUCAUAGGCUUUCUUGAGCAAUCCAUUACGACGCUUGCAGAAGGUGACUUGCCUAUUAGUAGUGUUUUCGAUCCGUUUGAUUUCUAUUUUGCCCCUUCCCGUCUUUCUGAGGGAAGGGCCUUGAUCCGGUUCUUGAUUAGGAAACUCCGUGGUUGCAAGCUGGUAAAGAAACAAAGAAGGAAUGGAAAAGAAAGAAAGUAUUUCUUGAGUUCACUCUCUCUUUGCGGUUUGGCUAUAGCUCAGCAAUAGUGGAGUUGCAGAAAAUGGAAGUGGAUUGCUGUAUCAGCUAGGCAUAUAUGGACAAGAAAUAGACCCUUCAACAAAAACCCAACUCAUCACACGCACAUAGAC